CUGGAGACCUGGAUUUGGCACGCUGACCAAGUCUUCUGGAACGGAGCGCCAUGGAGGGUGACAGCCCCGUAGCAGCAGCCGCAGUAAAUCCGGGUCGACGAGUCGAGUUGUUUGGGAAUGCAGCUCUAAGUGGGUGGUAUGCUCCAUCUAAAGCUAAAUAUUGGCGAGAGACCGAUAGCGAACAAGUACUGUGAAGGAAAGAUGAAAAGAACUUUGAAAAGAGAGUGAAAAAGUACGUGAAAUUGUUGAAAUGGAAGGCAAUGAGGUGCGAUUGACCCGGACGUUUGCGGGCAGCACAAAAGCGCAGGCCGCCUCGGCAUUGCCUGCGUGCAUACUGCCUCGCGGACCACCGGUUCUAAC
rnacentral:rRNA from 1 species